rnacentral:lncRNA from 1 species
GAAAGAGGGCAUGAAGGAGACUUCUUCAUUUGUGACAGUGAAUCUUCGCCAAAUGAUUUCUCAGAAUCACUAAAAGUACAAGGGGAAAAACAGGCAUUUUAAAGUCCAGCUGAAAGAGACUGUUCACUGCAUUGGGCAGUGGAAAUUCAGCCCCAUGGAGGAACUUGUAGAACAUUACAAAAGGCACCGAUCUUUACAGUGAGCAAGGAGAAAAAUUACAUCUUGUCCAACCUUUGUCUUGA